CCAGGUGGCCUGCUCCGUCGGCGGACACAAGGAUAGUCGAAUGCCGGCGAGAACCGGGCAUCGGAGUGGUCCGGAGACAUACUCAGUCGACAGGACGGGACUAGUGCUCGAUUCGGAUCAGGGCAUAUAAUCUCUUAUGUAUUUUUCGUGAUCAGCGUUUGUGGCGCCGCCGCUGCAAGCGAACCAGUCGAACCGAACUAAAAUGCAAUAUGGCCGUCUAAAAUCAACAUGGCCGUAGUAAUGAGUUCCGUUCAACAAGCAGAGUGAAGUGAAGCAAAGCUUACGAGCGAAAGAGGUUAUUUCUUACGAACGGAAUAAUUUGAAACUGAUGACACCAGUAGCUGUUCCAGCUUUCGACUGUACACCAGCCUUCGACACCAUAUAAAAUAAAGUUGCUGUGGCUGCGUUUGGAAACAUCACCUGAGUGCUCUCGGGUAUUCUUUGAGAGAGUCAUUCUAUGAUAGAGAGUUAUAUCGAAUCAUUAAUCAUGACAAUUACCUAUUUACUUUGUUUAUAUUGGAAGAGUGAAGAGAUUGUGAAAUGAUGAUUGGUGUAGAUUGUAAUAACUAGCUUUCUUAACAGAUUCUAAAUUUAAUUUAUUUUUAAAAACAAUUUCUGAAAGAAACAAAAAUAUAUUUCUCUUCUUAAUAUUAAAUGUUUAUGCAGUAUUAGUCAAAGAUUAGAUUCUUACAUUCAGUAUUUGAAUUACUUAAUCGUGACAAAUUGUAGCAUAUGUUUUACUUAGUCCCAGCUUUCAUCUGAUGAAUUAAUGGCGAUUGAGCUUGGAUUUUCCACGUAUUAAACCAAAAGUUCUUACUUAAACUGAUUGUGAUACGUAGGCACGAGAAAACGACUAUCUCUUUUCACUCUUCCAAAAAAGUAUAUGCAUAUAUUUAUACUGUAAGCGUAUAUAAAAUAUUUUUCAUUUGCAAAUGUCAUAUGCAAAUUAUAACAUUUUAUUUGUUUGUACUAAUCAUGUAAUGGUUCCAUAAAACAUGUGAAAUAAAUAAGUUCAAAAAUUUUAUUAAAUAUUAUUAAUUUGGACGUGUACGUGUGUGCAUGUGUGUAUGUGCGGGUCAAUGGUAGGGAAGGGGAGUGAGGUGAAAAGGAAAGCAUAUUGCAUUUUAGUUCGGUUCGGCUGGUUCGCUUACAGCGGCGGCGCCACAAACUCUGUUCACGAAAAAAGCAUGGAAGAUUACAGCCCCUGAUCCGGAUCGAGCUCGGCUUUUAUACCCGUCGGGGCGAUCCCCACGCGCUCCCAGCAGCGUAGUGGGAUCGGUUCCCGACGGGGAUACUAGACUUUUGGGAGGGGCGUCCGUAGACGCCGAGUCCCGUGUAGUGAGGCGGAUGGUCGGCCCCGGGACUCAGUGACGUAUCGUCACAUAUUUUUUUAAUUUAAAUCUGAAGUGAAAUAGAUCGAAUUUUGUGUAUAUAAAAAUAGUCCCAGUCAGAAACAUAUAAUUAAAAAACUGAUGUCAUCAUUAAUAUGACAUUGAACCAAUUAUUAUAUUUUUGACAUGUAAUUUAUGGAUGCGCUUUUAAAAUUUGAUCAAUUUGGUUUUAGAUUUUAAUCUUAAAAAUAUUAUGACACAUUGUUUAUAAAAAUAUUGUACGAAACAAUUUAUGAACAUUUAAGAUAUCGCGUAAUUAAUCAAUAAUUGCAUACACAUCAGUUAGGCCAAACUGCGAAAAAAAAAAA
rnacentral:lncRNA from 1 species